GCACCCGCGGUAAUUCCAGCACCAAUAGCGUAUAUUAAUGCUGCUGCAGUUAAAAAGCUCGUACUUGGAUCAAGAGUCGGACAGUGCAAGGUGGCCCUGUCUGUCCAGUUUGGUUCCGAUCAAGCUGGCGGCAGCGGGUAAACCCCUUGCGCCAAACUGUCCGCUCUCAACAGACCGAAACGGUUCCCUGUGAGUAGGUCCCUUAAUUGGAAUCGAAAGCGCCUACGCAUCAACCAUAUGCAUACGGGACGUCGGUCAAAGUUACUGUGAACAAACCAGCGUGUCCAAAGCAGGCUUGCGCCUGAAUGUUCGAGCAUGGAAUAACAAGGGAUCGAUCCUCUCGGUUCUUUUUGUUGGUUUUUAACCCGAGAAGGAGUAAUUCAGGCCACGGUGUCUGAGUUGGGUCCCCCUAGGCUUCGGCUUAGGCCCCAAUUAGGCCGUGUCCUUACGGGAUCAAUAGGGACUGACGGGGUCGUACGUACUUCUGCGUCAGAGGUGAAAUUCUUAGAUCGCAGGAAGACGAACUUCUGCGAAAGCAUUCGACAAGAAUGUCUUCAUUAAUCAAGAACGAGAGUGUGGGGAUCGAAGAUGAUCAGAUACCGUCGUAGUCCACUACUGUAAACAAUGCCGUCUCAGGAUUGAGAAGUGAACUGAAUGACUUUCACAGCACUAACCCCUGAAACGAGAAAUCAAAGAUUAUGGGUUCAGGGGGGAGUACAUUCGCAAGGCUGAAACUUAAAGGAAUUGACGGAAUGACACCACAAGGCGUGGAGUAUGCGGCUUAAUUUGACUCAACACUGGGAAUUUUACUAGGUCAGGACAAUGUAAGGAUUGACAGAUUGAGAGCUCUUUCUCGAUCCAUUGUGUGGUGGUGCAUGGCCGCUCCUGGUUGGUGGAGUGAUUUGUCUGGUUGAUUCCGUUAACGAACGAGAUCUCGACCCUUAAAUAGAUGCCCGUGUCGUCCGUAGUCUCACUCCGGCUCGCUUGCGAGAUUUGGAUGGGACGAGACUGCGGGAAUACUUCUUAAGGGGACUGUAUGCGUUUAUAGCAUGCGGAAGAGCGAGCCAAUAGCAGGUCUGUGAUGCUCCUAAAUGUCCUAGGCUGCACGCGCACUACACUGAUGCAUUAAACGAGUCUGAUUGCCUUCUGGCAACCUACCUGGAAGCGGGUGGGAAAUCUUUUGAACUUGCAUCGUGAUGAG
rnacentral:rRNA from 1 species